rnacentral:misc_RNA from 1 species
GAUGAAGAACGCAGCGAACUGCGAUAAGUAAUGUGAAUUGCAGAAUUCAGUGAAUCAUCGAGUCUUUGAACGCACAUUGCGCCCCCUGGCAUUCCGGGGGGCAUGCCUGUCCGAGCGUCAUUGCUGCCCUUCAAGCCCGGCUUGUGUGUUGGGUCGUCGUCCCCCCCGGGGGACGGGCCCGAAAGGCAGCGGCGGCACCGCGUCCGGUCCUCGAGCGUAUGGGGCUUUGUCACCCGCUCGAUUAGGGCCGGCCGGGCGCCAGCCGGCGUCUCCAACCUUCUAUUUUACCAGGUUGACCUCGGAUCAGGUAGGGAUACCCGCUGAACUUAAGCAUAUCAAUAAGCGGAGG